rnacentral:rRNA from 1 species
AUUGAACGCUGGCGGCAUGCCUUACACAUGCAAGUCGAACGGCAGCACGGGUGCUUGCACCUGGUGGCGAGUGGCGAACGGGUGAGUAAUACAUCGGAACAUGUCCUGUAGUGGGGGAUAGCCCGGCGAAAGCCGGAUUAAUACCGCAGACGAUCUACGGAUGAAAGCGGGGGACCUUCGGGCCUCGCGCUAUAGGGUUGGCCGAUGGCGGAUUAGCUAGUUGGUGGGGUAAAGGCCUACCAAGGCGACGAUCAGUAGCUGGUCUGAGAGGACGACCAGCCACACUGGAACUGAGACACGGCCCAGACUCCUACGGGAGGCAGCAGUGGGGAAUUUUGGACAAUGGGCGAAAGCCUGAUCCAGCAAUGCCGCGUGUGUGAAGAAGGCCUUCGGGUUGUAAAGCACUUUUGUCCGGAAAGAAAUACUUGGCCCUAAUACGGUCGGGGGAUGACGGUACCGGAAGAAUAAGCACCGGCUAACUACGUG